rnacentral:rRNA from 1 species
GAUGAACGCUGGCGGCGUGCCUAAUACAUGCAAGUCGAGCGAACAGACGAGGAGCUUGCUCCUCUGACGUUAGCGGCGGACGGGUGAGUAACACGUGGAUAACCUACCUAUAAGACUGGGAUAACUUCGGGAAACCGGAGCUAAUACCGGAUAAUAUAUUGAACCGCAUGGUUCAAUAGUGGAAGACGGUUUUGCUGUCACUUAUAGAUGGAUCCGCGCCGCAUUAGCUAGUUGGUAAGGUAACGGCUUACCAAGGCGACGAUGCGUAGCCGACCUGAGAGGGUGAUCGGCCACACUGGAACUGAGACACGGUCCUGACUCCUACGGGAGGCAGCAGUAGGGAAUCUUCCGCAAUGGGCGAAAGCCUGACGGAGCAACGCCGCGUGAGUGAUGAAGGUCUUCGGAUCGUAAAACUCUGUUAUUAGGGAAGAACAAAUGUGUAAGUAACUAUGCACGUCUUGACGGUACCUAAUCAGAAAGCCACGGCUAACUACGUG